rnacentral:misc_RNA from 1 species
GAUGAAGAACGUAGUGAAAUGCGAUAAGUAAUGUGAAUUGCAGAAUUCAGUGAAUCAUCGAAUCUUUGAACGCACAUUGCGCCCGCCAGUAUUCUGGCGGGCAUGCCUGUUCGAGCGUCAUUUCAACCCUCAAGCCCAGCUUGGUGUUGGGGAUCGGCACAGGCGCCCUCGGGCGCCCGCCGUCCCCUAAAUCUAGUGGCGGUCCCGCUGCAGCCUCCUCUGCGUAGUAGUUUUCUCCUCGCAAGGGCAGCUCGGUGGCGACCUCGCCGUAAAACCCCCAACUUCUGAAAGGUUGACCUCGAAUCAGGUAGGAAUACCCGCUGAACUUAAGCAUAUCAAUAAGCGGAGGA